UACGGGGGGAGCAAGCGUUGUUCGGAUUUACUGGGCGUAAAGGGCGCGUAGGCGGCGCAACAAGUCACUUGUGAAAUCUCCGGGCUUAACCCGGAGCGGUCAAGUGAUACUGUCGUGCUAGAGUGCGGAAGGGGCUACUGGAAUUCUCGGUGUAGCGGUGAAAUGCGUAGAUAUCGAGAGGAACACCUGCGGCGAAGGCGGGUAGCUGGGCUGACACUGACGCUGGAGGCGCGAAAGCUAGGGGAGCGAACGGG
rnacentral:rRNA from 1 species